UUGCAUUGAAAAGGACAUCGAGCAAGGUGUUGAACACAAGUGAUGAUAACAGGGCUUAUAUCUCAUUCCCAUUCCUAAGUAGAAGCUUUCAAAUUCUCUGAACAAUAAUAUGUAUUUCAUCCUGUUCAUGUGAGUCUGUUCUGCAAUUUGCAUUUCUUGUAACACACUUAUCAGGAUCGAAGAUCAAAAUUAUAUGUUGGAGCUUGGCACAGCAGCUAGAGCCUGUCAUCACAGCCCUUUGGGAGGCCAAGACAGGAGGAUCACUCGAGCCUAGAAGUUUUGGGCUUCAGUGAGCUAUGAUCUUGCCAUUGCACUAUAGCCUGGGCAACAGAGAGAGAAGCUGUUUACAAAAAGUAAAAGAAAAACACAACAGAAAAGCAAAGUUACGAGUUGGGAGGGUCUUCCUCUGUCACCCAGGCUGGCAUGCAGAGAUGUGCAUUCCAACUAACUGCAGCCUCAACAUCCUGUGCUCCAGCAAUCCUGCCACCUCAGCCUCCCCAGUAGCUGGGACUACAGCUGCUUGCCACAACACCCGGGAUUAUGUGAAUUUAAAGAUAGAAGCAAUCAGAGCUGAAUAUCGGAAGAUGCCUGCAUUUCUCCAUGAAGAACAGCAACAUCAUUUGGAGAUGCUUCAAAAGGAGGACAAAGACAAUUUUUAGCAACUCAAUAAAAGCAAUGCCAGAAUGGCCCAUGAGAGGGAGAUUUUAAAAGGAAUGUAUGAGGAGCUGAAGGAAAUGUCCCAUAAACCAGAUGUGGAGCUAAUCCAGAUACUGACUGACCAUGGGGUAUCAGGAUGUGGAACAUUCAUGUGCGCAGGUGUUUUUCCUCUUUCCUGAAAUGCUUUCUUCCCUGUAUUUCCACGACUUCUUUCCAGAAACACAUUUCCAUAACUCAUGCUACUUUGUGGGUAGAGUAUAGCCCCUCCAAGGGAUUUUACCAGAAAAAAGGUCCCUCUUACUUUAUCCACCAGCAACAAAACUUUGUGGAAUGGUCAAGGUAACAGCCCUAAUAAAUAUUCCCCAUCUACAGUC